GGGCGUCAAAGUAACCCGUUUUGGGUGAAAUCAGAACCGGGAUGGAGAGAAGGAGAGCGCAGCCUUCCUAUAAAGGUAAAUAACUGAUCUGACAGGCCCAGACGGAUGACGCUUCUUGCAUGGCGGAGCUUGGUGAUGAUGUUCCGUUUCAUGUCUGGUGGCCUUACGCGGCUGGUGCAAUCACCCGUAUAGCCGUGCAGUGAAGAA
rnacentral:sRNA from 1 species